CUGGCUAUAAGAAGGGAGGCUCUGUCAGCAUCAUUUCCCUCAGCCCUGGCCUCCAUCACCUCCUAGGCCAACAGCAAAGCCAAGGGCCAUGCUCCUGUUAUCAAUUCUGCUGCUCACGUCCCAAGCCAAGGGCGUACAUGUUGAAUGUGGUAAAAGACCAAUUUUUGAUGGAAGAGUUCAGUAUUCCAGAAUCAUAGGGGGGAUGGAGGCUGAGGUGGGUGAGUUCCCGUGGCAGGUGAGUAUUCAGGCAAGAAAUGAACAUUUCUGUGGCGGCUCAAUCAUCAACAAGUGGUGGAUUAUCACUGCUCUUCACUGUGUAGUUUUUGAAGAGCUACUUCCAACGGACUUGAGUGUUGUGCUGGGAAGCAAUGACUUAAGAAGCUCAUCUGUGGAAAUAAAGGGUGUUACCAGAAUAGUUCUUCACAAGGACUUUCAAAGACACAACAUGGACAAUGAUAUUGCCUUGCUGCUGUUGGACUCACCCAUCACAUUCAAUGGACUGACAGAGCCCAUCUGCAUGCCCAGAAAGCCCAGCCCCUCCGUGUGGCACAACUGCUGGGUGGCAGGAUGGGGUCAGACCAGCAGUGAUGACAAAAACUCUAUGAAAACUGAUCUGAUGAAAGUGCCAAUGAUCAUCAUGGAUUGGGAGAAAUGUUCAAAGACAUUUCCAAAACUUACCAAGAAUAUGCUGUGUGCUGGAUACGAGAAUGAGAGUUUUGAUGCUUGCCAGAUUGGUUGCUAGGCAAGCCUGCAACCCAGAAUGCCAAUGAGCACAGAUGAAAACUAACAAAACAAGAAACACUUCCCUCUCUUUGGACUAAGAAAGGAGCAACAUAGGAAGCCAGAAACUUUUUGACAAUAAACAUUAAACAUUGUAUUCCAACAAAACAACAGGAAAAAAAUUGAUGGCCCUCCAACCCCAUCAACCAAGGUCAAGUGGACAACCUCGACUUCCUUCCACUGCCCACCAUAGUGGUUACAGAAGAAGUUAUAUGGAGAACCAGGACUUUAACUACCAUCUAGUAGUAACCAGCCAUCUUCUGCCCCCCUUUAUGUCACUGGAAGCAACCUGAGGAACUGGGGCUUCCACCCCACUCAGGGUGACAGUGGAGGGCCUCUGGUCUGCACCACAGAAUCUGACAAGACCUGGUACCAGGUGGGCAUCAUCAGCUGGGGCAAGAGCUGUGGACAGAAGAACAUGCCAGGAAUAUACACCCUGUUAGAAAAUUACAGCCUCUGGAUUAAGAAGGUGACUGAGGUAGAGGGAAGGCCCUUUAAUGCUGAGGAAAUGAGAGCUCCUCCCAACAGGAAACAAGUGAGGUCCCAUGCUGCAGAAUUUCCAGAGCCAGGAAGUCCCAGAUUCUGGAUCCUGAUUUCGCUUCUGUCCAUCAUGCUAUUCGGGG